rnacentral:lncRNA from 1 species
GUAGAUGCAAGGGCUGGAGGUAGGUACAGGGGCGCGGCGUGCUUGCAUACAAGAUCUGUUGUUGCAUGCUUGCAUACACGAGAUGUGGCUGCAUUCGUGAACAUGUGUGUGGUGUGUGUUUUCUUACAGGAGGAGUUGGGCGUGUACAUGCUGAAUUUGUGUGGUAUGUCUGUCUGUGCUAAUGUUUCUUCUUUUUUCAUAUGGGAGCUGAAAGGGAAAUAAAAAGGUUGAAUUCAGGGGCUAGAUCUUCAUCUUCUCUUUGAUUUUCUCUCCAAAAUCAGAGGUAAUUUAGUUACUAGCAAACCCUAAUGUUCCUCAUAUGUACUGAUUGAAAGAUGAUGUGCAGGUUGAGUUUUUUUUUGUUGAAGUAAUACCAUUCUUAGUUGAUGAAGUAAUAUCAUUUGUACCAUUGCAUUGUAGAUGAACAAAUAGACAUUGUUGUGGCUUGUGGCAUUAUUCAGAAUUGGGUUUUAAAUGAUGGGAUUGAUGAGUAUAUCAUACCCGAGGAUUAAUGGGUGCCAAAUAUCACUCGUGCUUCAUCGUGAACUGUCCAAGCACAAGAACAAGCAUAUAUGGCUAAUUUUAGGCAAUGGCUUGCCGAUCAAAUGUGGGAAGACCUACAAAACUAUAUGCAACAAAACAUCUAGUAGAUGUAAUGAUUUCUGUGAACUAUUGUGGUUUCUGGAAUUUCAUUGUAAUGACAUAUUAUUUGUUGUAAUGAUGUAGUACUAUUGUUCUUUAUGUUGAAAUACUUACUAGAAUUAAAUUCUUUAUGGUAUAAUAAUUGAUGAUUUGGUUCACUCUCUUCAAAUACAUGCUAAAAUUUAGUUAUUUAUGCUCACAUACUUGCCGAUUUGGUUCUUUAUAAUGUCUAUGUACUUAUUGGAAUUGUAG